UACGUAGGGACCAAGCGUUGUUCGGAUUUACUGGGCGUAAAGGGCGCGUAGGCGGCGUGGUAAGUCACUUGUGAAAUCUCUGAGCUUAACUCGGAAAUGGCAUUGGAUACUAUUCGGCUAGAGGGUUUGAGGGGGGACUGGAAUACUUGGUGUAGCAGUGAAAUGCGUAGAUAUCAAGUGGAACACCAGUGGCGAAGGCGAGUCCCUGGAAAACUCCUGACACUGAGGCACGAAAGCUAGGGGAGCAAACAGG
rnacentral:rRNA from 1 species